AUUUAAAUUUCAGCACCUCAUCAUAACAAUUUAUUAUCAUAGAGUGCAGUGCUACAAGUUCUCUACCAUGAGAAGAAUCUUAGAAAAUAACAUGGAACAAAUCAGAUGUGCUUAUUAUAAUAAAUUAAAAAUACAUUUAAUAAUAAACAUCAUGCAUAGUUAGAGACAUUGGGGGAGCAUCUCUGUGCUGUGACCCACAUGGUGGAAGUAGGUCAACAGUCAGACGGCGUGUCAGACAGAUAAUGUCACCAUGCUGCGCUCACUGGAUUCACGCAACAUUUAGGAAACUCGUGUCACGCAUCGAGCCCGCAGGCGGCCACACAUCAUGCAAUAUCGCGCUUACAUGUAACCGUGAACAUUUUUGCUGCGUUUCUGGCCGCAUCUGAAAAUGAAAGGGGCAUGUCUGCGGGAGGAGACUCGAACACCUAUAAGCGUGCAAUAUGCAGAAGUGCACGCUGAUUUAUGUUGCUAGGCAAAAUGAAAUCUCCCAGUACACAUGUGGACCAACUGCGGCAAAACUGGGAGCCGCGCCCCCCAGACUGGAUUUUCUUUUCUUUUUUUUUUUCUGCCAUCAGUCCUUGGGGUCUUCUGACAGUGCGUUGCCACACGGAUCAUGUAGAGAUUACAUCACGAUGUUUCGCUUCUUGAGAUAUUUAGUCUACUUCAUGCUGCCAAGCUGGUCAGGAAGUAACCAGGCCAGGAUGUGGAUAGGGACACUCGACCCCCAAAAAUUACAAAAGGUAAUGGCAUAGCAAUCGUUUUAUGAUGAUCUCAAACAUUUAAGUGAGAAAAAAAACAGAACAGUAAGGAGGCCAAAUUUUGUUUCGUAAAUGUUCAGAGCUAUGAAUUAGGGCUGGUAUCAUAUCUGUAAUUUUCUUUUCUUUCUUUUUUAUUUUGCAACAAAAACUGUCACAAUGCCAUGUUUUAUGCCAGAAGUUGUACGUUUCAGGAUUUGUUGACAAUAACAUAUCAAAGCAUGCCAGCUGCGUCAAUAACUUUAAUUUCUCAACAGCACAAACCAUGAAUAACUUAUUGCUCUUCCUAAUCUGUAUUUAAACGACAGAGACUUGGUCAUAGUGGGGUACACUGAUGYUUGCAGGACAGUGCAGAGGAUUACAUUUUAACAUGUUAAAUUAAAUGCAACAUCAACAUUUUACAUUUUUAACAAACCUGUGCUCUGUUAUUCCCAUAAGACAAAUAAACAGCAUGUCUAUAGCUCACAUGAGAAAGCUGGCCUAUGGAGGGACCCACUGACGCUGAAAACGUAUCAAUGUGUAAUAAAAAAUUAUAACAAUUGGGAUUGAACGGCUGGAGCAACUCUAAGAGAUCUGAUGAAGCAAAAAUAUUUACAACGAGAGAGAUUGGCGAUGAGGAUUCCUGACGGAGGGACAAAUAGGACUAGAAGUGACACAAUUAGGACACCAGCUUGGAUCCAACUGGGGCUUUUCAUGAGCAAGACUCUGCUUAGUGUGUGACUCCAAACUGACAUAAAAAAAAACAAGACACAGGCCAGACAUGACACCUUAACAAGAGCUUCAUGUAACAUUUGCUUAUGCUUAAAUUAUACAAGGAGAACAUUACUUUCCACGACAAUAUUUACUGAGAUAUCAAAUAAAAGACGGUUAAUAAGGCCUGAGCAAUGACACUUCAGAUUACAACACCUAAAGUAAUGAAAUAAAAAGAUUCUGGCCAUGCAGGUUAGGAUUUUAAGUGCAAGCAACACAGCAGUGAGUAGAUACAGUAGAUCUAAAGUCAUAUAAGAUGGAUCAUGUAAGCAGAUAUCUCCUGCAUGUUUGAGCUGAUAUUUUCUCCCGG